rnacentral:rRNA from 1 species
GAUGAACGCUGGCGGCGUGCCUAAUACAUGCAAGUCGAGCGAACAGACGAGGAGCUUGCUCCUCUGACGUUAGCGGCGGACGGGUGAGUAACACGUGGAUAACCUACCUAUAAGACUGGGAUAACUUCGGGAAACCGGAGCUAAUACCGGAUAAUAUAUUGAACCGCAUGGUUCAAUAGUGAAAGACGGUUUUGCUGUCACUUAUAGAUGGAUCCGCGCCGCAUUAGCUAGUUGGUAAGGUAACGGCUUACCAAGGCGACGAUACGUAGCCGACCUGAGAGGGUGAUCGGCCACACUGGAACUGAGACACGGUCCAGACUCCUACGGGAGGCAGCAGUAGGGAAUCUUCCGCAAAGGGCGAAAGCCUGACGGAGCAACGCCGCGUGAGUGAUGAAGGUCUUCGGAUCGUAAAACUCUGUUAUUAGGGAAGAACAAAUGUGUAAGUAACUAUGCACGUCUUGACGGUACCUAAUCAGAAAGCCACGGCUAACUACGUG